CAUUUUUAAUCGUGAAGUUUGGAGCCUGUUUAAAGUUUUUGGUUCCGUUGGCCCUGGGGAAAUUAAUGAUUAACAAUCUUAAUGAAUUCCAAGAGCUAAAUUUUCCUAAAGAACAUUAACUGAUCAAAUGCUAAAGUUUUGCUUGUUACCGGCAACAUCGUCACCUAAUAAAACCCAAUGUUCCAUUUAACUUUCUUGUCCGCCGCAAAUAAAUCAAGCCUUUCGAUUUCCUAUGCGCAUUCGAUAAAACCAACGGAACGACAACAGAAGAAAGCACGAGAGCGGCGUCGUCCCGUAAAUGCGGUAUUGCGUGAAACACGUUCGUCUGGAGAUGCGGAAAAAGAAAUACACGAUAUAAUGAGGAGCACUCCGAUGAUUUAUAAGACCCUAAAUGCUUUUAAAUUGUAUUAUGGCAUGCGUGUUGCAGUUUUUCAUGAUAUCGAAUGGCUUAUUAAUAUUGGGCAUUCUAAUCUAUGCCGAGGACGCCUUCUAAUCUUUGUGGUUCUUGGCGUGAUUUUAUUGGAGGCUUAUUCUAAUUAGGCCUUGUUCUUUUUCGAAAUUUAUAAAGCCGAGACAUUCAAGUGCAA